AACGAACGCUGGCGGCAUGCCUAGCACAUGCAAGUCGAACGAGACCUUCGGGUCUAGUGGCGCACGGGUGCGUAACGCGUGGGAAUCUGCCCUUGGGUUCGGAAUAACAGCGAGAAAUUGCUGCUAAUACCGGAUGAUGACGUAAGUCCAAAGAUUUAUCGCCCAAGGAUGAGCCCGCGUAGGAUUAGCUAGUUGGUGAGGUAAAGGCUCACCAAGGCGACGAUCCUUAGCUGGUCUGAGAGGAUGAUCAGCCACACUGGGACUGAGACACGGCCCAGACUCCUACGGGAGGCAGCAGUGGGGGAAUAUUGGACAAUGGGCGAAAGCCUGAUCCAGCAAUGCCGCGUGAGUGAUGAAGGCCUUAGGGUUGUAAAGCUCUUUUACCCGGGAUGAUAAUGACAGUACCGGGAGAAUAAGCUCCGGCUAACUCCGUGCCAGCAGCCGCGGUAAU
rnacentral:rRNA from 1 species